UGGGGAAUUUUGGACAAUGGGCGAAAGCCUGAUCCAGCAAUGCCGCGUGUGUGAAGAAGGCCUUCGGGUUGUAAAGCACUUUUGUCCGGAAAGAAAUCCUUGGCUCUAAUACAGUCGGGGGAUGACGGUACCGGAAGAAUAAGCACCGGCUAACUACGUGCCAGCAGCCGCGGUAAUACGUAGGGUGCAAGCGUUAAUCGGAAUUACUGGGCGUAAAGCGUGCGCAGGCGGUUUGCUAAGACCGAUGUGAAAUCCCCGGGCUCAACCUGGGAACUGCAUUGGUGACUGGCAGGCUAGAGUAUGGCAGAGGGGGGUAGAAUUCCACGUGUAGCAGUGAAAUGCGUAGAGAUGUGGAGGAAUACCGAUGGCGAAGGCAGCCCCCUGGGCCAAUACUGACGCUCAUGCACGAAAGCGUGGGGGAGCAAACAGGAUUAGAUACCCUGGUAGUCCACGCCCUAAAACGAUGUCAACUAGUUGUUGGGGAUUCAUUUCCUUAGUAACGUAGCUAACGCGUGAAGUUGACCGCCUGGGGAGUACGGUCGCAAGAUUAAAACUUAAAUGAAUUGACGGGGUCAUAGCUG
rnacentral:rRNA from 1 species